rnacentral:rRNA from 1 species
AGUGAACGCUGGCGGUAGGCCUAACACAUGCAAGUCGAACGGCAGCACAGUAAGAGCUUGCUCUUACGGGUGGCGAGUGGCGGACGGGUGAGGAAUACAUCGGAAUCUACUUUAUCGUGGGGGAUAACGUAGGGAAACUUACGCUAAUACCGCAUACGACCUACGGGUGAAAGCAGGGGAUCUUCGGACCUUGCGCGAUUGAAUGAGCCGAUGUCGGAUUAGCUAGUUGGCGGGGUAAAGGCCCACCAAGGCGACGAUCCGUAGCUGGUCUGAGAGGAUGAUCAGCCACACUGGAACUGAGACACGGUCCAGACUCCUACGGGAGGCAGCAGUGGGGAAUAUUGGACAAUGGGCGCAAGCCUGAUCCAGCCAUACCGCGUGGGUGAAGAAGGCCUUCGGGUUGUAAAGCCCUUUUGUUGGGAAAGAAAAGCAGCAGGUUAAUACCCCGCUGUUCUGACGGUACGCAAAGAAUAAGCACCGGCUAACUUCGUG